rnacentral:rRNA from 1 species
UACAGGGGGGGCAAGCGUUGUUCGGAAUUACUGGGCGUAAAGGGUUCGUAGGUGGCCAACUAAGUCAGACGUGAAAUCCCUCAGCUUAACUGGGGAACUGCGUCUGAUACUGGAUGGCUUGAGUGUAGGAGAGGAAUGCGGAAUUCCAGGUGUAGCGGUGAAAUGCGUAGAUAUCUGGAGGAACACCGGUGGCGAAGGCGGCAUCCUGGACCGGUAUUGACGCUGAGGCGCGAAAGCCAGGGGAGCAAACGGG